GAGGUUAAGCGACUAAGCGUACACGGUGGAUGCCCUGGCAGUCAGAGGCGAUGAAGGACGUGCUAAUCUGCGAUAAGCGCCGGUAAGGUGAUAUGAACCGUUAUAACCGGCGAUUUCCGAAUGGGGAAACCCAGUGUGACUCGUCACACUAUCAUUAACUGAAUCCAUAGGUUAAUGAGGCGAACCGGGGGAACUGAAACAUCUAAGUACCCCGAGGAAAAGAAAUCAACCGAGAUUCCCCCAGUAGCGGCGAGCGAACGGGGAGGAGCCCAGAGCCUGAAUCAGCAUGUGUGUUAGUGGAAGCGUCUGGAAAGGCGCGCGAUACAGGGUGACAGCCCCGU
rnacentral:rRNA from 1 species